CUCAAGACUAAGCCAUGCAUGUCUAAGUAUGAACGCUUCGUACUGUGAAACUGCGAAUGGCUCAUUAAAUCAGUUAUAGUUUAUUUGAUGGUCGUUUGCUACAUGGAUAACCGUGGUAAUUCUAGAGCUAAUACAUGCAGAAGGUCCCGACUCCUGGAAGGGACGUAUUUAUUAGAUCCAAAACCAGCGCGGGUUGCUCUCACGGGCGCCCGGUACCUGGGUGAUUCAUGAUAACUUCUCGAAUCGCACGGCCCUUGCGCCGGCGAUGGUCCAUUCAAAUUUCUGCCCUAUCAACUUUCGAUGGUACGGUAGUGGCCUACCAUGGUUGCAACGGGUGACGGAGAAUUAGGGUUCGAUUCCGGAGAGGGAGCCUGAGAAACGGCUACCACAUCCAAGGAAGGCAGCAGGCGCGCAAAUUACCCAAUCCCGACUCGGGGAGGUAGUGACAAUAAAUAACAAUGCCGGGCUCUUGUAGUCUGGCAAUUGGAAUGAGUCCAAUCUAAACCCCUUAACGAGGAACAAUUGGAGGGCAAGUCUGGUGCCAGCAGCCGCGGUAAUUCCAGCUCCAAUAGCGUAUAUUAAAGUUGUUGCAGUUAAAAAGCUCGUAGUUGGAUUUCGGGGCGGCCCGGCCGGUCCGCCGCAAGGCGAGUACUGGUCGGGCGCCCUUCCUCUCGAAGGCUUCGACUGCUCUUGAUUGUGGUGGUCGAGGAGUUCGGGACGUUUACUUUGAAAAAAUUAGAGUGUUCAAGGCAGGCCGUGGCCUGAAUACAUUAGCAUGGAAUAAUGGAAGAGGACCUCGGUCCUAUUUUGUUGGUUUCCAGGGCCGAAGUAAUGAUUGAGAGGGACAGUUGGGGGCAUUCGUAUUUAAUUGUCAGAGGUGAAAUUCUCGGAUUUAUGAAAGACGAACAAGUGCGAAAGCAUUUGCCAAGGAUGUUUUCAUUAAUCAAGAACGAAAGUUGGGGGUUCGAA
rnacentral:rRNA from 1 species